CUACGGGAGGCUGCAGUGGGGAAUAUUGGACAAUGGACCAAAAGUCUGAUCCAGCAAUUCUGUGUGUUUGAUGAAGGCCUUCGGGUUGUAAAGAACUUUAAGUAGGGAAGAAGAAAGUGACGGUACCUACAGAAUAAGCGACGGCUAGAAUACGUGCCAGCAGCCGCGGUAAUACGUAUGUCGCAAGCGUUAUCCGGAAUUAUUGGGCAUAAAGCGCGUCUAGGCGGUUUACUAAGUCUGAUGUGAAAAUGCGGGGCUCAACUCCGUAUUGCGUUGGAAACUGGUAGACUAGAGUAUUGGAGAGGUAGGCGGAACUACAAGUGUAGAGGUGAAAUUCGUAGAUAUUUGUAGGAAUGCCAAUGACGAAGGUAGCUUACUGGACAAAUACUGACGCUGAAGCGCGGAAGCUAGGGGAGCAAACAGGAUUAGAUACCCCAGUAGUC
rnacentral:rRNA from 1 species